rnacentral:rRNA from 1 species
AUCCGUAGGGGGCUAGCGUUAUCCGGAUUUACUGGGCGUAAAGGGUGCGUAGGUGGUCUUUCAAGUCGGUGGUUAAAGGCUACGGCUCAACCGUAUUAAGCCGUCGAAACUGGAAGACUUGAGUGCAGGAGAGGAAAGUGGAAUUCCUAGUGUAGCGGUGAAAUGCGUAGAUAUUAGGAGGAACACCAGUGGCGAAGGCGACUUUCUGGACUGUAACUGACACUGAGGCACGAAAGCGUGGGGAGC